rnacentral:rRNA from 1 species
GAACACUCACGAUAAUUUAAAAUGGGGAGAAGUUUUCGAUGUAGGAGGAUGGCACGACGAGUUACCGCCGGGUGGCAGAUCGGGACAGACACGAGUAGCAACGGAAGCGUGACGAGCGCGGGCCGCCGGUGCGGCGUCCUCUCGGCACCGUACACACGCCGCUGUCGCCGCUUAUGCUGCUGUUCUCGCACAUGGUCCGCUUGGAGUUGGAGCAGCGGCGGCGCGAGGGGUUCUUGCGGAGCCGCAGCGGGUUGGAGAAGCGGUGGCGGCUCCGGCCGCGGCAGGGCCUCUUCCAGUGCCGAGAGCGCGAGACGGCGCCCCUGCGGUUGAGGUCCCGGACGAGGUCGACGGAGCGGUUGCGGAAGCGGUUGGAGGGGUUGCAGACGGGGCCGAAGUUCCUUCGGCAGUAGAUGAUGCUGCGGACGUACGAGGCGAUGAGGCUGCACGUCAAGGAGAGGCGGCUGCUGAGGCCGGGGGACCCGCACCUCGAGUGGAUGUGCCAGGCGUUGCUGCGGUUGCGGUGCAGCCUCGGCCCGGCCAUGGUCGCGCGGCACCGGUGCGAGUACUUGCGGUGGCGCCUGAUGCGGCGCAUGUUGAGGUGCGCGGCCAUGCGGUGGCCGGUUCGGCUGGAGCUGGCCCUCAAGGGGUUCCACAUGUCGACCCGCGUCACGUGGGGGCUGGACUGCGGCCCGGCCACGGCCCUGACGGAGCGAGUCAACUAACGCGUCAACGGCCACGUCAAAUGCCUGUCAUAGCCCCCGUCCGAAGAACCAGGGGCUACGUCGAAGCUCAUGCUCUGGUUCGGGAAGUAGUUACCGGGCCACUAGCACGUCGACGGUCGUUGCAGCCGCUCGAGACCUCGCGGCCGCGGCCGGCAUCACGGGUGCGGAGGACGUAGGCGCUGUCGUCUCCCCUCUUUCAUGUCACAAGGACCGUACCAAGAAUAGUAAGACGACGGAUACUAUCGUCGGUAUUUGGAGCAGCGAACCGAGAAAAGUACCUCCUCCGCCGUCCAUAACUCUUUCCGUUUCGUUGGUCUGGGUUUAAUAAGGUGGCUACUUCGUCUCCCGUACCUUUCACACCUCAGUUACAAUUAACUGUAAAGUUGAAACGCUCGACGCUGGCUCCUAAAACGUCUUUCGUUAUUUGAGCCGCUUCCGCCUAAACCGGGCCACAUGUUCCCAUGAGAGGAUUCGCCGCUACUCUAGCGCCACUUCUCUGAGAGGUUCUCGAGUUGUGUUCCUCACCUCCUCGACUUCUUACUCGAGCGGAACCAACGCUUUGACUUCGUGUUCUUGGAACAAUCUGAUUAGCCACAGACGAACCUCGUUGUUCUCUCCGACGAGUAGAUACUCAAAUAAGGAUUGGCUUCGGAGCUGGACUAGGAAAAGCUACUUCUUUUUGCAGUUUUUGACCUAACCCUUUGCUCCAUGUUCUAGUAUUUACCUCACCGAGCUCCGGACGUCAUGGAGGUACUUCUGAGAGUCGAGUUUCAUCAUGUAGCACUGGAGUUUCGCUCGUUGCAGAACGAUCUGUACUUGUACUUGGGCUUCUAUAGCCUAAAACCGGAACGCUUCUAAAAGCCCUCUCUGGUCUGGGUCCCACACUGCUUGGCGCAGCAGCCGUGUAUACCUAUGUACCGCGGUCUCAUGCACUACGCACCCUUGAUGAGUCAGUUUAGUCUGCACAAGUCGAAGCCGCAAAACCAGGACCUCUAGCACUACCCUUCCUUCUUGUCACUAACGAUGUUGAGGGUAGUUAGAGUUCUAGAGAACUGGUGUCAUACCCUCGUAACCUGCCGGCCUUGCCACAACCUCUACCGUCUAGGCAGGUACUUGUUCUCGCUACGCAACUCCACGUAGGUACAGCCCGAAAACACGUAGGUCCCGUUGGGCUGACUGGCUGGCUACUACAGCUGCCACCGGUACUACGAGCCGCCGCUGUGUAAGAGUGAGGGACGAGGGAGCUUCGGCCGGAAGAUGAGAUGUUUGCGACCACGGUUAAGUUCGUGGCCCAGGUCGUACAGCUAGGGUAGUCACGUCCGGGCAAGUAUCUUAAAUGAAUUAUCGUUGUUAAAGUCAACGGUCAAGUUCGUGGCCCAGUUCGUACAGCUAGGGUAGUCACGUCCGGGCUAGUAUCUCAAAUGAAGUAGCGUCGUUAAAGUCGUCUUUAUCGGUUACCCAAGACCAGUAUAACAGAAAGCAAGUAUGCUCCUGAUGUCCAAACGACAAGUCGUUGAAUAGCUCGUAGAAUAGGGUAGAAUUUCAACCAAAUAAGCCGUCGGCGUUUACGAUGAGUAAUAUCCCUAAAGUUGUUUCCUUUAAAUAAGUAAUGAUUUCGGUUUCAGUCGUACUCAUGAUAAUACUUUUUUUAAGUCUGUAGUACGAGCUCCUAUUUAAAAACGCCCUUUGACCAUCUGUCAGUGAGUAAAAUUAAACCUGUUGUUGGUACCAACACAAAGGGAUUACACACAAAUUUAUAUAAGUCACACAUAAUUUCUUUACAACUUAAACGUAAAAUAUUUUCAAGUC